rnacentral:lncRNA from 1 species
CUCAUAUGGUGAAUUAAACCAUCAUGUAUUAUUUUUGAUGCAGGAGAGCCUUCACACAGAAGGACUCCUCCUCUUCUGAACCUCAUAAAUUUUUCAUAAAAAAAUGGUGUGAAAUCAUAAAGGAUCUGGAUGAGAAUACAAGAUGAUAGGAUAAGAUAAGAGCCUUCAUUAAGAAGGACUCUUCAUUUUCCCAUGUUAAUUAAGAGGGG